rnacentral:rRNA from 1 species
GACGAACCGUGCGAACGUUAUUCGGAAUCACUGGGCUUAAAGGGCGCGUAGGCGGGUUGCCAAGUCUGUGGUGAAAUCCUCCGGCUCAACCCGGAGAACGGCCGUGGAUACGUGGGCGGACCUCGAGGGGGGGUAGGGGCUUGCGGAACUGUGCGUUGGAGCGGUGAAAUGCGUUGAGUAUGGACACAGGGAACUCCCGGUGGCGAAGGCGGCGAGCUGGACCCUUUCUGA